UACGGAGGGAGCUAGCGUUGUUCGGAAUUACUGGGCGUAAAGCGCACGUAGGCGGCUUUGUAAGUUAGAGGUGAAAGCCCGGGGCUCAACCCCGGAAUUGCCUUUAAGACUGCAUCGCUUGAAUCCGGGAGAGGUGAGUGGAAUUCCGAGUGUAGAGGUGAAAGUUCGUAGAUAUUGGGAAGAACACCGGUGGCGAAGGCGGCUCACUGGCUCAUAUCUGACGCUCAGGCGCGACAGCGUGGGAUCAAACAGG
rnacentral:rRNA from 1 species